GCCCCGUUGGCGAAAUCGGUAGACGCAGCGGCUUUGCAAGCCGCCGACCUAGCAGGGUUUUGUCGGUUCGAGUCCGACACGGGGCACCA
rnacentral:tRNA from 1 species